rnacentral:lncRNA from 1 species
AAACUCUCGAUAUCAUUUUACACCACUCACGUCACCCACCAAAUCAGAGAGAGAGAGAAAGCCGCCGGCAAAGGAGGAAGCUGACCUCCGGUGACCGGCCUUGGGUCCAUGAAACUUCGGCGAGUCAGAUCUGUCGUGCAUAUCCCGUUUUGGUGUAACUCCUACCUAUUGCUUCACUGCUCCGGCAACUGAUGAAGGAUUACGGUGGUUUUGGUUUUGAGCUGGUGGUUGAUGAUGAUGGGUUUUUGUUGCUCGCCGAGUGAAACGGGUAGAGGUGAUUCCAACAAGUGGGAUUGUCACAAUUGAUGGGUUUUUGCAGCUGAAAGCAAUUGGGGGUAGUAAUCACCGGUAGCUGAGACGACUGCCGGCGGCAGAAACGACUCCGACAGUCGGACACUGGUCAAGAGAGGAGAGAACCCUCUCGAUUUCAACUUCAACUUCCAAGUUUGGGAUCUCUAAUCUUUUCUCAUCAAAAACUUCCGGUGAGUGAAGGUUUUUGGCAUUUUGAUUAUGAACCAUUGUUGCUGCAACUCUGCAAGGGACACUUUGGGGACACUUUGGGUCAGGUAGUCAUCUUUGGUAGUUGGAGCUUUGGUUCUUAAAGUGUAAGGCUUGAUUCACAUAGGAGAGACACUCUCAGGUCGGUAUUAAUUCGAGUUCAUCUACGUUUCACGUCAUGUGAGUCACUUGAUCGUUUUUCCGGUUUUGAUCAUCGUUGGGUUUCUAUUUAGCAUGUUUUUUCGCCCCCACCUCUAAUUGCACAGUUUUACGCCCCCCCCCCCCCGCCCCGCAACGCGGGGGGCUCAAUUCUAGUUCAUAAACAUUACCCGUAGCUGAAUUCCAGAUAAAAACGCCAAUUUUCCACUUCACGAGGGUCAACCUUAUUUAUUUGCAUUCAUACCAUAGAGAGUUGCCAUAAAUGAAAAAUAUGAAAUGAAAAAUAAAAAAAAAAAAAAAA